rnacentral:rRNA from 1 species
UACGAAGGGGGCUAGCGUUGUUCGGAAUUACUGGGCGUAAAGCGCGCGCAGGCGGCCUUUCAAGUCAGGGGUGAAAGCCCGGAGCUCAACUCCGGAAUUGCCUUUGAAACUGUCAGGCUCGAGUACGGGAGAGGUGAGUGGAAUUCCCAGUGUAGAGGUGAAAUUCGUAGAUAUUGGGAAGAACGCCGGUGGCGAAGGCGGCGACCUGGUUCGAUACUGACACUGAGGUGCGAAAGCGUGGGGAGCAAACAGG